rnacentral:rRNA from 1 species
CUUGCAAACUAAAGAUGGCGACCGGCGCACGGGUGAGUAACACGUAUCCAACCUGCCGAUAACUCGGGGAUAGCCUUUCGAAAGAAAGAUUAAUAUCCGAUAGUAUAUUAAAACCGCAUGGUUUUACUAUUAAAGAAUUUCGGUUAUCGAUGGGGAUGCGUUCCAUUAGUUUGUUGGCGGGGUAACGGCCCACCAAGACUACGAUGGAUAGGGGUUCUGAGAGGAAGGUCCCCCACAUUGGAACUGAGACACGGUCCAA